rnacentral:rRNA from 1 species
AACAAUAUUGCGACGGGUGCUAUGUAUCCGAACAAGCAAGCCCUGAAGGAUGCAAUAAUUAAUUGGGCAAUGUCCACGCAAAGGGUUUUCAAAGCUGAGGUGUCCAGUCAGAAAUUCCUCACAAUGGUAUGCAAGAACGCAGAUUGUCCCGCAAGGGUGCACGGCUUUCUCCCUAAGUAUGGCACAAGUUGGGUGAUAAGUGACUUAGUUAAUCACACUUGUCUUAUUCCCUGCAUCCCUCAAGAUCAUGCCAACCUUUCAUCCACGCUUAUUGCUCGACUGUUUUACGAUGAGAUAGUGCAAGGCAAAGCUAUGGAAGUGAAGGCAGUGCAG